ensembl:misc_RNA Y_RNA Y RNA
GGCUGGUCUGAUGGUAGUGGGUUAUCAGAGCUUAUUAACAUUAGUUGGUAUUUGACACCCCCCCCCAUUGCUAAAUUUGACUGGCUUAAA